GAUGAACGCUGGCGGCGUGCUUAACACAUGCAAGUCGAACGAAGCAUUUGCGACAGUUUUUUUCGGAAUGAAGCUGCUUAUGACUGAGUGGCGGACGGGUGAGUAACGUGUGGGUAACCUGCCUCGUACUGGGGGAUAGCAGCUGGAAACGGCUGGUAAUACCGCAUAAGCGCACAAUGUUGCAUGACAUGGUGUGAAAAACUCCGGUGGUAUAAGAUGGACCUGCGCCUGAUUAGCUAGUUGGUGAGAUAACAGCCCACCAAGGCGACGAUCAGUAGCCGGGCUGUGAGGGUGGCCGGCGACUUUGGGGCUGGGACGCAGCCCGGACUCCUCCGGGAGGGAGGAGUGGGGAAUAUUGCACAGUGGAGGGAAUUCUGAUGCAGCGACGCCGCGAGAAUGAAGAAGUAAUUCGUUAUGUAAAGCUCUAUCAGCAGGGAAGAUAGUGACGGUACCUGACGAAGAAGCUCCGGCUAACUACGUG
rnacentral:rRNA from 1 species